GAAGGUUCUUAGGAUCGGAAUGGUGCAGUGUCCCUGCUUAUACCCAACAAAUUUCCAAGGACUCCCUCUUCAAACAGGCAGAGAACAAGAUCAGGCCUGGUCCACUGGCAGAGACUGCCCUCGGGAGACAGCUAGACUUUGUGAAGUGCUGAGGGCUGAGAGUUGGAGUCUAACAGGAGAGAAAUCCAGAAGCUUCCCACACUGUUUUGGAAGUCUCUACACAGGCCUCCUGCUCCCAGUCAUCAAGGAAGGUCUAGGCCUCAAUCUUGAGACCCCUGACCUUGCCAUAGCACAAGCCUGAGCAGCCCCUGCCAGAGGAUAGCAGUUCUUGUGGAGCAAAGUGGAGUCUUCGAAGUGGCUAUAUGCAUGUGAGUGUGUCCAGCAAAGAUAAGGAAACGCUUACAUCAAUG
rnacentral:lncRNA from 1 species